GAAAGACUGCAGUGGAGGGAAUGUUAAUUUCCAAUUUUUUCUGAAAAUGUAUUCUUUCUAACUGUCAGGUUCAGACUUCUGCUGAUUCAUAACCAUUUGGCUCUGAGCUAUGACAAGAGAGGAAACAAAAAGUUAAACAAGCAAGCCUGCCAUAAGUGAGAAGCUUGAAACAUGGAUUUUUUCCUAAUAAUUGAAGACGGUUCAAGAAAAUAUCUUCUACAAGAAAAUAUGCAAC
rnacentral:lncRNA from 1 species